rnacentral:rRNA from 1 species
GACGAACGCUGGCGGCGUGCCUAAUACAUGCAAGUUGAGCGCUGAAGGUUGGUACUUGUACCAACUGGAUGAGCAGCGAACGGGUGAGUAACGCGUGGGGAAUCUGCCUUUGAGCGGGGGACAAUAUUUGGAAACGAAUGCUAAUACCGCAUAAAAACUUUAAACACAAGUUUUAAGUUUGAAAGAUGCAAUUGCAUCACUCAAAGAUGAUCCCGCGUUGUAUUAGCUAGUUGGUGAGGUAAAGGCUCACCAAGGCGAUGAUACAUAGCCGACCUGAGAGGGUGAGCGGCCACAUUGGGACUGAGACACGGCCCAAACUCCUACGGGAGGCAGCAGUAGGGAAUCUUCGGCAAUGGACGAAAGUCUGACCGAGCAACGCCGCGUGAGUGAAGAAGGUUUUCGGAUCGUAAAACUCUGUUGGUAGAGAAGAACGUUGGUGAGAGUGGAAAGCUCAGCAAGUGACGGUAACUACCCAGAAAGGGACGGCUAACUACGUG